AUUGAACGCUGGCGGCAUGCCUUACACAUGCAAGUCGAACGGUAACAGGUCUUCGGAUGCUGACGAGUGGCGAACGGGUGAGUAAUACAUCGGAACGUGCCCGAUCGUGGGGGAUCACGGAGCGAAAGCUUUGCUAAUACCGCAUAAGAUCUACGGAUGAAAGCAGGGGAACGCAAGGCCUUGCGCGAACGGAGAGGCCGAUGGCAGAUUAGGUAGUUGGUGGGAUAAAAGCUUACCAAGCCGACGAUCUGUAGCUGGUCUGAGAGGACGACCAGCAACACUGGGACUGAGACACGGCCCAGACUCAUACGGGAGGCAGCAGUGGGGAAUUUUGGACAAUGGGCGCAAGCCUGAUCCAGCCAUGCCGCGUGCAGGAUGAAGGCCUUCGGGUUGUAAACUGCUUUUGUACGGAACGAAAAGACUCUUUCUAAUAAAGAGGGUCCAUGACGGUACCGUAAGAAUAAGCACCGGCUAACUACGUGCCAGCCGCCGCCGUAACAC
rnacentral:rRNA from 1 species